rnacentral:sRNA from 1 species
GCUGGGUAUAAUGGGGUAUGCCUGUAAUCCCAGAUACUCAGGAGGCUGAGGCAGAAGAUUCACAAGUUCAAGGUCAAACUGGGCAACUUAGUGAGACCCUGUUUCAA